rnacentral:rRNA from 1 species
UAAGUCCCGUAACGAGCGCAACCCUUGUCCUUAUUUGCCAGCACUUCGGGUGGGAACUCUAAGGAGACUGCCGGUGACAAACCGGAGGAAGUGGGGACGACGUCAAGUCAUCAUGGCCCUUACGACCAGGGCUACACACGUGCUACAAUGGUAAAUACAGAGGGACGCGAAGCCGCGAGGUGAAGCUAAUCCCAGAAAAUUUAUCGUAGUCCGGAUUGGAGUCUGCAACUCGACUCCAUGAAGUCGGAAUCGCUAGUAAUCGCGAAUCAGAAUGUCGCGGUGAAUACGUUCCCGGGCCUU